rnacentral:rRNA from 1 species
GACGAACGCUGGCGGCGUGCUUAACACAUGCAAGUCGAACGGAAAGGCCCUGCUUUUGUGGGGUGCUCGAGUGGCGAACGGGUGAGUAACACGUGAGUAACCUGCCCUUUACUUUGGGAUAACUUCAGGAAACUGGGGCUAAUACCGGAUAGGAGCUCCUGCUGCAUGGUGGUGGUUGGAAAGUUUCGGCGGUUGGGGAUGGACGCGCGGCUUAUCAGCUUGUUGGUGGGGUAGUGGCUUACCAAGGCUUUGACGGGUAGCCGGCCUGAGAGGGUGACCGGGCACAAGGGGACUGAGAGACGGACCAGACGCCUACGGGAGGCAGCAGGGGGGAAUAGUGCACAAUGGGCGGAAGCCUGAGGCAGCAACGCCGCGUGCGGGAAGACGGCCUACGGGUUGUAAACAGAGUUGGCAGGAGACGAAGAGUGAGUGACGGUAAUGGGUAAAGAAGCACCGGCUAACUACGUG